UUGCUAAAUCUGCGCUACAGGCGUACAAAAUGCUUAAAUCGGCUAGUACAAGCCAAGUGCAACAAAAGUGUGGUGGCGACGGAAUGGGAGAACGGAUAGAAAUUAUGGAAGUCGAUGAAAGAGAGCUUGGUAAGGAUACGGCUGGACAUGCAACUGACGAACUUUCGUGCAAAAUCGUUUCUGGUGUCAGUGAAUCUGAAAGUUGGGAGGAAACCGAUGAAAAGAUGAGAGCAUAGAGAUUGUGAGAGUUAAUGCAGUAAGUAAGACGAGUAAGGCUGCCUCUAUUUCAAACACCAGCCGUCUUAGCUAUCAAAGCUCGCUUGGAAGUUUUCUUCCUUCAAUUUUAUCAAGUGAGCAAGGCGACCUGCCAUUUGAUGUGGACGA